GAUAGGGCUGUGUCGCCAGGGUGAUUGGACACUGACGCAGAGUCAACUAGCCUUGUGCGCACGGCCCUUCCUUCGCGCGGGACCGCGGCGGCUCAAGUCAUGAGGGGGGAGACUUGAGCCGUCCUCG
rnacentral:ncRNA from 1 species